rnacentral:rRNA from 1 species
GAUGAACGCUGGCGGCGUGCCUAAUACAUGCAAGUCGAGCGAACAGACGAGUAUCUUGCUCCUCUGACUUUAGCGGCGCACGGGGGAGCAACACGUGGACACCCUUCCUACUAGACUGGGAUAUCUUCGGGAAACAGGAGCUAUUAUCGGCCAAUAUAUAGAACCGUAUGGUCCCAUUGUUAUUGACGCUCUUGCUGUUCCGUAUAGACGUACCCGCGCCUCAUUAGCUAGUUGGUAAGGUAACGGCUUACCAAGGCAACGAUGCGUAGCCGACCUGAGAGGGUGAUCCGCCAAACUGGAACUGAGACACGGUCCAGACUCCUACGGGAGGCAGCAGUAGGGAAUCUUCCGCAAUGGGCGAAAGCUUGACGGAGCAACGCCGCGUGAGUGAUGAAGGUCUUCGGAUCGUAAAACUCUGUUAUUAGGGAAGAACAAAUGUGUAAGUAACUAUGCACGUCUUGACGGUACCUAAUCAGAAAGCCACGGCUAACUACGUG